rnacentral:lncRNA from 10 species
CAGCAGGGCAUCUGCAAUAGUUUAAUGGACACCUUAGAUCCCUGCAGAUAGUGACCAGCUGACACCUGACUCUGCAUUUAAUAUCAGUCCGUUUGACAUUCAACUGUAAUGUCAGCUCCAGCUUUAAAUGUCCUCCAGCUUUAAAAUGACACUUAUUUCUCCUCUUUUAUAAGUAAACAAAUAAGUCAAUAUAGAAAACUCUAAAAAUAAAGAGCACAUAAUUAGAUAGAUCCAGAUAUAAUCGCUAACAAUAUUUUUACAUAUCAUCUUCCAGUAUUUUUCCUACAUAUAUGUAUUUACUUUAAAAAAAAUAGCAUCCGACAGUGUCUAUUUGUGGCCUGCUUUUUAAAUUACAUGGCAAGUAUCUUUCCCUAUCAAUAUACACACUUGGUAUCACUUUUAAUGGCUGUAGUUAUUCUACUAUAUGGAUUAUGAACUUACCUCCUUCCACCCUUAAUAGAUUUUCUAUUUGUUAAUUAAGUUGUUUCUAUUUCUUGGCUACUAUAAAGACUAAUUUAAUG